UGCUGGCUGCCGCGGUGGUUGUUAAGUCAACCGCACGGUUUUCCGGUCAGGUGAACCAGUACCACCUGUGCUUCGCAUGGGUACCUGGGUCAACCCUUUGUGAACCAAAACAAACCUUUCGCUUCGGCAGCGGGGCCCUAAACCAGCCCGUCAGCCUGCCGCUAGCACCAAACACAAAAUAAACUUGUUGUAAAAACAUUGUCUGACAACCAAAUUUUCGAAUGAAAAUCAAAACUUUCAACAACGGAUCUCUUGGUUCCCGCAUCGAUGAAGAACGCAGCGAAACGCGAUAGUUAAUGUGAAUUGCAGAAUUCAGUGAAUCAUCGAGUCUUUGAACGCACAUUGCGCCCAUUGGUAUUCCUUUGGGCAUGUCUGUUUGAGCGUCAUUACAACCCUCAGCUAACCGCUGGUUUUGGACCCGAACGGCUUGACCGCCGCGCAGGUUUUAAAGUUGUAAGCUCUGCUGGCCGCUCUGCCCCCAACCGGAACAUAGUAAGCACUACUUUUGUUAAGGUGAAGCGGAACGGUACGGCCUGUAACAAAACCUACCCUUUUUUCUCAAGGUUUGACCUCAGAUCAGACAAGGAUACCCGCUGAACUUAAGCAUAU
rnacentral:rRNA from 1 species